AUUAUUUUAGUAUAAUAGUACCUUUUCCUUCCAAGAAAAAAGUUUAGGAAGCCUAAAAAUAAUA
rnacentral:tRNA from 1 species